UACAGAGGGUGCGAGCGUUAAUCGGAAUUACUGGGCGUAAAGCGCACGUAGUCGGCUUUGCAAGUCGGGUGUGAAAUCCCUCGGCUCAACUGAGGAACUGCCUUUGAAACUGUCUGGCUUGAGGCCGGGAGAGGGUAGCGGAAUUCCCAGUGUAGCGGUGAAAUGCGUAGAUAUUGGGAGGAACACCAGUGGCGAAGGCGGCUACCUGGACCGGUUCUGACGCUGAGGCGCGAAAGCGUGGGUAGCAAACAGG
rnacentral:rRNA from 1 species